rnacentral:tRNA from 1 species
GCUCAGUUGGUUGAGCGUCCAACUCUUGAUUUUGGCUCAGGUUAUAAUCCCAGGGUCAUGGGAUCAAACCCCAUGUUGGGCU